CCUCAUCCUUGAGAUCUCUGUCAUCCUCCCCUAGAAGCAGUGUUCAAGAUUUUAAAAAUAACACAUUGGAAAUAGAGAUGGAGCCUCUGUGUACCCUCUUCCCCUCCCAAAAGAACUUCCUAUGAAUGGAACCAUCCAGUAUGCACUAUUUUGUGUCUGUCUUGUUUUACCCAGUAUAAUGUCUUAAAGAAUAACCCACACUGUUUUAUGUACCCAAUAAUUCAUUAUUUUUUAUUGCUUGGUAUAAAGAUAUCAUAAUUUGUUUGUCUUUUCUAUUGGGGUGUUUCCAAUUUGGGGCUCUUUUAAAUAC
rnacentral:lncRNA from 1 species